ACCAACCCUAGCCUGACUUCCCCCCCCCCAACAAACAUAAAAUAUCCAAUCAAACCAUUUACCUCAAAUAUUAACAGUAUAGGAGAUAGAAAUUUUACCCAGCGCUAUAGAAAAAAGUACCGUAAGGGAAAGAUGAAAGAACAUUUUAAAGUAUAAAAAAGCAAAGUUUACCCCUUGUACCUUUUGCAUAAUGACCCAACCAGCAAUAAUCCGACAAAAAGAAUUUUAGCCGAGAAACCCGAAACUAGACGAGCUACUCAUAAAUAGUCAUAUAAGGACGCACUCAUCUAUGUAGCAAAAUAGUGAAAAAAUCUAUGAGUAGAGGUGAAAAGCCUAACGAGCCUAGUGAUAGCUGGUUGUCUGGAAAAGAAUUUUAGUUCAACCUUAAAUUUACCUACAGUACCCUAAAAACCCAACGUAAAUUUAAACGUUUGCCUAAAGAGGAACAGCCCUUUAGGCCAGGCUACAACCAUUAGUAGAGAGUAAAUAACCCUAAUACCAUUGUUGGCUUAAAAGCAGCCAUCAGUCAAGAAAGCGUUAAAGCUCAACACACAAUAUCCUAAAUCCCAACAUUCCUCAUCAACCUCCCACUUACCAACCAGACCGAGCUAUUACUCAAUAGAAGUGACAAUGUUGAUAUUAGUAACAAGAAUAUCCAUUCUCCCAGCGCAAGCCUAUAUCAGAUCGUAUACUCACUGAUAGUUAACAAUAAGGUAAAAAUAAACACACCCUAAAAACUUACCCCAAUAAACUGUCAACCCAACACAGGCGCGCAAUAAGGAAAGAUUAAAAAAAGUAAAAGGAACUCGGCAAAAUUAACCCCGCCUGUUUACCAAAAACAUCACCUCUAGCAUUACCAAUAUUAGAGGCACUGCCUGCCCAGUGACACAUGUUAAACGGCCGCGGUAUUCUGACCGUGCAAAGGUAGCAUAAUCACUUGUUCUUUAAUUAAGGACUCGAAUGAAUGGCCAAACGAGGGUUUAACUGUCUCUUACUUUUAAUCAGUGAAAUUGACCUCCCCGUGAAGAGGCGGGGAUAAACCAAUAAGACGAGAAGACCCUAUGGAGCUUAAAUUAAAUAACCCACACUGAUAUAUGCAAACCUAAUUAAAGUCAUAAACACUAUCAUCCCCUGGGUUAGAAAUUUCGGUUGGGGUGACCUCGGAGCAUAAAAAAACCUCCGAACAGUUUUAACUUAGACCCUACUAGUCAAGGUAAUUUUAUACACCAACUGAUCCAAAUCAGCUUGAUCAACGGAACAAGUUACCCUAGGGAUAACAGCGCAAUCCUACUAUAGAGUCCAUAUCGACAGUAGGGCUUACGACCUCGAUGUUGGAUCAGGACACCCUAAUGGUGUAACCGCUAUUAACGGCCCGUUUGUUCAACGGUUAAAGUCCUACGUGAUCUGAGUUCAGACCGGAGUAAUCCAGGUCGGUUUCUAUCUAUUAAAACGUUCCUCCCAGUACGAAAGGACAAGAGAAACAGAGCCAACUUAACAAAAGAGCUCUCCAUUAAAUAGAUGAAGUAAACUCAAUCUAAUAUGCUACUUAAACCUUACCCAAAACAAGGGCUU
rnacentral:rRNA from 1 species